AUCUAAGUAUUUUAUUUAAAAUAAAGAUUUGUGGGAUCUUUGAUGCUAAAUUUAAUUAUAGCCUUAGGUU
rnacentral:tRNA from 1 species